rnacentral:rRNA from 1 species
UACGUAGGGCGCAAGCGUUAUCCGGAAUUAUUGGGCGUAAAGAGCUCGUAGGCGGUUUGUCGCGUCGGCUGUGAAAGCCCGGAGCUCAACUCCGGGUCUGCAGUCGAUACGGGCAGACUUGAGUGUUGCAGGGGAGACUGGAAUUCCUGGUGUAGCGGUGAAAUGCGCAGAUAUCAAGGAGGAACACCGGUGGCGAAGGCGGGUCUCUGGGCAACAACUGACGCUGAGGAGCGAAAGCGUGGGGAGCGAACAGG